rnacentral:rRNA from 1 species
UAGGGAAUAUUGGUAAAUGGGCGAAAGCCUGAACCAGCAACGCCGCGUGUGCGAUGAAGGCCUUCGGGUUGUAAAGCACUUUUGCGUGGGAAGAGGAAGGACGGUACCACGCGAAUAAGCCUCGGCUAACUACGUGCCAGCAGCCGCGGUAAAACGUAGGAGGCGAGCGUUAUCCGGAUUACUGGGUGUAAAGCGCGAGCAGGCGGCGCGUUAAGUUGGGUGUAAAAGCUCCCGGCUCAACUGGGAGAGGUCGCUCAAGACUGGCGUGCUAGAGGGUGGUAGAGGAAGGUGGAAUUCCGGGCGUAGUGGUGAAAUGCGUAGAUAUCCGGAGGAACACCAGUGGCGAAAGCGGCCUUCUGGGCCACACCUGACGCUCAGACGCGAAAGCUAGGGUAGCAAACGG